ACACGACUACAUUAGAUACCCGUGUAGUCCUAGCCGUAAACGAUACUCGCUAGGUGUCGGCCACGGUGCGACCGUUGUCGGUGCCGUAGGGAAGCCGUGAAGCGAGCCACCUGGGAAGUACGGCCGCAAGGCUGAAACUUAAAGGAAUUGGCGGGGGAGCACAACAACGGGUGGAGCUUGCGGUUUAAUUGGAUUCAACGCCGGAAAUCUUACCGGGUCCGACAGCAACAUGAAGGCCAAGCUGAAGACUUUGCCGGAUUAGCUG
rnacentral:rRNA from 1 species